rnacentral:rRNA from 1 species
GUAAACCUAUCCUUUAAUUAGGUUAGGAUGAAGCUUCGCCGUAUAUUACCUUAUUGGUGAUCUAUGGCAUUAAUAGCAUUUAAGUGGUGGCACAGAAUCGGAGGCCCCGACUGUUUACUUAAAACACAGCUUUCUGCGACGAAUAAUAUCUUUGUAUAGAAAGCGAAUUUUGCCCAAUGCCAUUAAUAUAAGGUCGAUAAGCGCAUAGCGUAAUUAUUGGCUGAAGUUCUGGUCAAUGGCGGUCUUAUCUAUGAGGAUCCUAAGGUAGCAAAAUUAAUUGUCCAUUAAAUGUGGUCCUGACUGAAUAAAGUAACGAUGGUCUCGCUGUCUCUACAAGUAUCUCAGUGAAAUUGAAUUAGCCGUGCAGAUGCGGUUUAACUUCGGGUAGACGG